ACGCGGCGGCUGCCCACCGCGUAAAGUCGAACGGUAACAGGUCUUCGGGUACUGAGAGUGGCGAACGGGUGAGUAAUACAUCGGAACGUGCCCGAGAGUGGGGGAUAACGAAGCGAAAGCUUUGCUAAUACCGCAUACGAUCUCAGGAUGAAAGCAGGGGACCGCAAGGCCUUGCGCUCACGGAGCGGCCGAUGGCAGAUUAGGUAGUUGGUGGGAUAAAAGCUUACCAAGCCGACGAUCUGUAGCUGGUCUGAGAGGACGACCAGCCACACUGGGACUGAGACACGGCCCAGACUCCUACGGGAAGCAGCAGUGGGGAAUUUUGGACAAUGGGCGCAAGCCUGAUCCAGCCAUGCCGCGUGCAGGAUGAAGGCCUUCGGGUUGUAAACUGCUUUUGUACGGAACGAAAAGACUCUGGUUAAUACCUGGGGUCCAUGACGGUACCGUAAGAAUAAGCACCGGCUAACUACGUGCCAGCAGCCGCGGUAAUACGUAGGGUGCGAGCGUUAAUCGGAAUUACUGGGCGUAAAGCGUGCGCAGGCGGUUAUGUAAGACAGAUGUGAAUCCCCGGGCUCAACCUGAGAACUGCAUUUGUGACUGAAUAGCUGGAAUACGCAAAGGGGGAUGGAAUCCGCGUGUAACAGGGAAUGGGUAAAUUGCGGAGGAACACGAUAGGAAGGGAAUCCUUGGGCGU
rnacentral:rRNA from 1 species